rnacentral:lncRNA from 1 species
AAGGAGGAGGAGUGGAAUUGCAGGAGGGAGGCUUGACAGGAUUGCCUCCAGCCUGGAGCAGAUGGAUUGGCGAAGCUGGGGCUGGGUGCUGCCCGGGCGGGCGAGGUGAUAAACCAUACGAAAGAACGCCAUUAUUCCCACCUUCAGCUAGGGGUGCCUGGACGUAUCUGAAAACCUUGGGUAAGUGUUCACAUUUUCAGCGCUUAAGAAAAGGAAGAAGCAGCAGCUGCAGAGGCAGUUCCAGGCCUUCCAGCGGCAUCACAGAACCUGCACCGAGUGCCACCUGGACCGCAGACUGGGCCUGAAGCCUUGGGCCGUGGCAUCCGCCCUUGCCGCCGCCGCCCUUUUUGGAUUUGCUUCUCCCCCAACUGUGCCAGAGUUCAGCUCUCCUGGUCUCUGGUCUGCCCAGUAAGAGUGCAGGGGUGGAGAGGUGAGGGGGUGAAUCAGGAGCCUCUUUCCAGUGCUGGCCCUAGUAAGAAGUCAGAAGAAAGGUGAUAAUCUGGUUGUGUUUGAAGGGGAGAGGCCAAACCUGAAGAAUUCUGCCUUUUUAGGGGCCUUACCUUUCAAACCCUAUUUGGUCUCCACUGGCCUUUGCUUCUGAGGACGGAGGACUUGGGGCUUUUUUACAAGGAUGCCUAAAGAGAUCAUAACCCUCACUCUAAACGACUGAGAGACUGAUAGCUCUAGCCCAGCACCUAGGUAACUCACU